UCUCUCCCUCUCAGCUCUUUUGCUCUUCUGCCAUCUGAGGAAUAGUGUUUCUCCCUCUGGAGGAUGUAGCAUUCAAGAAGCCACCUUGGAAGUGGAGACAGCUUUGACUCGAUGCCAGAUCAGCUGGUACCAUGAUCAUGGACUUCCAGCUUCCAGAACUGUGGAAAACAUAUUUCUCUUGUUUAUAAAUUACCCAGUCUGUGGUAUUCUGUUAGAACAACACAAAAUGAACUAAGACAAUGUGUGUGUGUGUUUAUGUGUGUGCAUGCACAUGUAUGAGCAUGUCCAUGUGUGUCAGUGUGUGUGUGUAUCUCCUGUUUGUUCUAUCUGGUUAACCAUGAUUGAAACAGAUAUCAUGAAGAUAGCAAUGCGGCUUUGAGCAGAGACAGUUGCAGGAUUAUGGAGAGCCUUGAGUGAGCUGUCAUUAUGAGUUAUGUCACCCCAAUAGUCAUAAAAUACUGAGUAAUAUUUGAGUAAUAAUUAAUUAUUACUAUGUCUACUAAGUGAGCAUAUAUUGUGCCAUAGAGGUCGGUUGGCACGAUUUCUAUUGACUCAGAUUUCCGAGAUGCUAAUCCAGAGCCUGAGUGGAAGUCUCUCAUCUUCCUGUCAGAGAAGCUUUACUCUGCUGAAGAGAGCACCAAAAGCUGGGUAUCCUCCAUCAGGGAAUGGGGAUCUGACUAGAAAAGGCCUCCAGCUCUGUCAGGUUAAUACUGGGAUGAAGAAGGACUUUUUAUAUUAAUGGAGUCAAUGCCAUUGAAAGUUAGCAUUCAUUUAGUCCACUUCUUCAUUGUAUACAUAGGGAGAGUGAACCUGAGAGAAGAGAAGCCACCUUUAUAGGCCACACAGCAAGUUGGUGGCACAGCCAGGCCUCACACUCACAUCUCCUGACAAUAAGUAAGGUGGAGAAGAAAGGAGAAGGAAAGAGAUAAAGGUUGUUUGCUAGAAGAGAAGUCUGGAUUCCCAUUGUGCUUUUACUAUGAGCCAUUUGCUGCAUGAGCCCCUGCCACUCUUCUAAAUAAGCUUCCAGGCAUUACCUGCAUGCUGUGUUCCUGUGGUGGGAUGGCAGUAAUCUCUGCUAAGAUAAACGGGAGCUUCUGUGGAUAAAGCGUAAACGCAGUGAAGUGUGUGUGGCUGGAAGAUUUAAUGCCUCUACAGUGCUUAGAUACAAGUUGAGCUUGGAAUUCCAGAGGUAGAGCACUGCUGAUUGGAGGCAUAUUAAGUAAAAUGUACUGUGGAAAUGAGAUAAAACCUUUAUUCUUGUCAAUGACUGUCAUUCUUGUAUGUAUUCAGGUGUCCAACAAAGGAUUUUAGAAUAAAGUGUGCCUUUAAAGUUUCCCACCUUUCUUAAAGCUCCCAAUGAAUUGCAAAGGGCCUGUUUGGAAUGGACUGUAUUAAAUCUACUUCAAAUGAAAACCUUUACACUUAGUGAAAUAUGGUUCAACAAUCCUUAACACAAGGCCUUUACACUUGUGUAGCCCAUUUUGGUUUGGCCUGUCUUGUCACUAGAAUGCUGUCUGAGCUUGGAU